rnacentral:rRNA from 1 species
AUGAACGCUGGCGGCGUGCUUCACCCCUGCCCGUCGAACGGAAAGGCCCAAGCUUGCUUGGGUACUCGAGUGGCGAACGGGUGAGUAACACGUGGGUGAUCUGCCCUGCACUUCGGGAUAAGCCUGGGAAACUGGGUCUAAUACCGGAUAGGACGAUGGUUUGGAUGCCAUUGUGGAAAGUUUUUUCGGUGUGGGAUGAGCUCGCGGCCUAUCAGCUUGUUGGUGGGGUAAUGGCCUACCAAGGCGUCGACGGGUAGCCGGCCUGAGAGGGUGUACGGCCACAUUGGGACUGAGAUACGGCCCAGACUCCUACGGGAGGCAGCAGUGGGGAAUAUUGCACAAUGGGCGCAAGCCUGAUGCAGCGACGCCGCGUGGGGGAUGACGGCCUUCGGGUUGUAAACUCCUUUCGCUAGGGACGAAGCGUUUUUGUGACGGUACCUGGAGAAGAAGCACCGGCUAACUACGUG